rnacentral:rRNA from 1 species
UACGUAGGUGGCAAGCGUUGUCCGGAUUUACUGGGCGUAAAGAGCGCGCAGGCGGUUGUGCAAGUCGCGUGUGAAAGCCCCCGGCUCAACUGGGGAGGGUCACGCGAUACUGUUCGACUUGAAGGCAGGAGAGGGAAGUGGAAUUCCCGGUGUAGUGGUGAAAUGCGUAGAUAUCUGGAGGAACACCGGUGGCGAAGGCGGCAUCCUGGACCAAUUCUGACACUGAGGAGCGAAAGCCAGGGGAGCAAACGGG